UACGUAGGACGCAAGCGUUGUCCGGAAUUAUUGGGCGUAAAGAGCUCGUAGGCGGUUUGUCGCGUCUGCCGUGAAAACCCGAGGCUUAACCUCGUGGCUUGCGGUGGAUACGGGCAGACUAGAGGUAGGUAGGGGAGAAUGGAAUUCCCGGUGUAGCGGUGAAAUGCGCAGAUAUCGGGAGGAACACCGGUGGCGAAGGCGGUUCUCUGGGCCUUACCUGACGCUGAGGAGCGAAAGCGUGGGGAGCGAACAGG
rnacentral:rRNA from 1 species